AUGAAUACACGCGGAGUGAUAGAGAGGAAAUAACGAGGAUGAUAAAGGUUGCUGCUUGGUGUUUGCAAGAUGACCCAGAAAGAAGACCUCUCAUGUCAACAGUUUUAAAAGUGUUGGAAGGUGUUAUGGAGGUAGAUCCAAACAUCAAUUAUCGGUUUUCGCAUUCAAUGAUAGCUUCUCCACUGGUAACAACCAUAUUUCUUCACCACCUCCUCCAGCAUCUGUUCUUUCCAAUCCUAGAUGAUGUAGUUGUAAGACUCCCUCUUCUGGCAGAAAUAAAAUCUAUCAUGCUUCUUGUCGCUUCUGCUACUUUUCCAUCAUGCUAUCCUAAGCUAACCACAGCUUUUUUAGCACUUGUCUAGCAAGGUAUUGACAUGUCUCAAGUAGUUUGCCGGUGUACUGGAGUAUAGUCUUCAGAAUUUUCAACAUUUGAUUAUUCAAAGUCGUUGGCUCUUGACCAGGCACGAUGAGAGUUUUUAGAUGUGUGGAUGGAAUGUAUCCUGCAGAAAAUUUGAGAUGGGUUUCCUAUCAAUUUUUAGGGAAAAAAAGGGCCUUUUUUAGGCCGAAACAUGUCUUUCAUUGGGCUUAGCUCCAUCUCGCUUCUACUAGCAUUCUUGCAUGAUUCAAUUAUUACAAAUUUUUAACUGAAUAUUCAGAACUAUCUCAGACUUGCCUACAACAAAUCUCUGAGUCCGUUUGUUUGCGUGGUUUCUUCUGCGUUUGAAGCAACCACAGCAAACAAUACGUUAGGCAAUGUUAAAAACACAAUAAAAUUUUAGUGGGAUCCAUGAAAAUUCGCGUUUUACACGCGAAUUUUGAGAAGCAGCUCCUGGCUGCUUCUCAAAAUUAAUUUACGUUCACUUGCACUGUGCACGCCAACGGUGCAAUUUAUUUGCACUGUUCACGUGAACAGUUUAGUUUAGUUUUUUUUUUUUGUAUAUAUAUUUUUAAAAAAAUUAGUUUAGAGUGAAUUAAAUUCACUUGCAAUGUAAUAUCAAAUCAAUUUUUUCCUGAUAAUAUUUUAUCUAAUUUUAUAUAAAAUAGUAUUUAUUUUAUGAAGUAAUAGCAAUAGUUAAAUCCAUAACAUUUAAAUUAAAAACCAUCAGUAUUAAUAUAUAUUUUUAAAAUUAUUUUAUAAUCUCAAUUUCAAAAGCACUCUUAACCAAACAUAUUAAACUACUUUUUAUUCAACCUCAAUUUCAACCACAGUUUUAACCAAAGACCUAUUUUUUCAAACCAACCUCAACUAAAAGUACUUUUUAUAAAACAACUUUUUUUAAACCACAACCACAACAGCUACCGCAAUACCAAACACACUCUCUAUCAUUAACACCACAAUCUCUCUCUGAAAUGAUUUUGUUAAUCUUUAAUGCAGAAUUUUUUAGUUUUCAUGAUUUUUCUACCGAGAUUGAAAAAUUCAAGGUUUCUAUGUAUUGUAAUACUAGUCUUUUUUAGCAUGAAAAUUUAUGCUAUGCAUAGUUACUUAUUCCCCCUCUAAUUUUUUAACACAAAAAAUGAAAAGAAACUUUUUGUUAAAACUUAUAGUCCGUUAUGAAAUAAUAUAUCUUUCAUAUGGUUGUUUAAAAGCUUAUAAUUAAGAGGGCUAAAGACAAGAGAUGUGUUAAGCUCAAAUACACGUCUCUUUGGCAAGAUGUCAGAUUUAAUAUCCUUGAGUUCAGCUAUGUAUUAAGCUUGAGUAUAUGUAGGUCUGGCCAAAUGCUAAAUCCAACAUUCUUGGGUUCAGCUAUAUGCUAAGCUCAAAGUCAUAUGAGUUUGACAAUGUAUUAAACCCAAACAUCCUUCUAAAAGCAUAUGGGUUCAACAAUGUAACAAACCCAAACAUUUUUGGGUUUAACUACCAUUAAGUCCAAAUGUGUGAGUUUGACAAUGUGUCAAGCUCAAAUAUUCUUGGGUUUAGCUACGAGCUGAAUUCAAGUCUAUAUGAAUCUAGCAAGGUGUCAUAUUCAACUAUCUUGGGUAUAGCUAUACGUUGAACUCAAAUACAUGUAGGUCACGCAUGACGCCAAACCCAACUGCCUUGAAUUGAAUAAUGUGUUGAGCUCAAAUAUAUGUGGGUCUCACAAGAUGUCAAGCCCAAUUACCUUGGGUUCAGCUACGCGCUGAGCUUAAGUGCAUAUGAGUCUGACAAGGUGUUAGACCCAUUAGCUUUGGAUUUGGAAUCAUUUCAAACCCAAUACAUAUUGAGUUGAUAAUCUUUUUAGGUUCCAUGUUGGGUCACAUGAAUUUAUUUGUUGAUUCUCAUGUUUUUUAAUAUAAAAUAUUAAAAAUCAAGAAUGAUCAUCUCCUUACAUCCCUGGGUACAUAAAAGUCUCCAUAGAGCCUACCAUCUUUCAAUCAACAUUAAUUUUAUGUAAGAAAUAUCUAUUAUUAAUUAAUAUUGUGUAAGAGAUAUUUAUUUCUCACUAAUGAAAUAAAAAAAAAAAUUAAUGCUCAAACCUCUCUAUCCAAGCAACAUGACAAAGUUUAAAGGCUAUAUAUACCAUCUGAACUACUAAGGUAAAUAAUUCACACAUUUUCUAUUCUCUAUUCAUACUCUUAUUUUACAUAGCAUUUAUCAUACAUAACUAAGAACAAAUACUAUUAUUCUUAAGAAUGUAAAGUUCAUCAUCUUAUUUAUUAUAAUAUCUUAUUAAAAGUCACUUAUUUUAUCAUUGGAGGAUCCUUAAAUUCCACCAAAAACAAAUAUGUUAUAGGUGUUGAAUCUUUUAUCACCAAUCAUUAACUUCAUGAAUUCCGAAGAAGGAAAUGUUAACAUGAAUGUUUGAUCACUCUUUAUCUAAUCACUAAACAAAUCCUCAUUCUUAAGCAUAUUGGAUUUUAAAAAUAUUAUCGACAUGUUUCCAAGAAAGUGUCGAAUACCCAUCACAAACUAUGAAAAAUUCAUUCCUUACUUUUCCAUGUUAAAAAGGGUUUUUUUUAAUUUUUAGGGGGUGCUUGAGAGUAUGGUAGCAGUUGUUUUUUAAAGUACUUUUCGCUUGAAAAUAUAUUAAAAUAAUAUUUUUUUUAUUUUUUUAAAAAAAUAUUUUUGACAUAAGCACAUCAAAAUGAGUUAAACACACAAAAAAAUUAAUUUAAGACAAAAAAAUUUAAAUAUUUUUAAAAUACAAAAAUAAAUGAGAUUAUAAGCUUUUUAAAACAUUAUAAUUCAAAACGUUGAAAAUAUCAUACGUUACUUGUUGAAUGCAGAGUCAGUCCUCUCCCAGGUUCCACAAUUACCUUUCUAUUUGCACUUUAUUCUUUUCUCGAAGUGGACCAAAAAAAAGAAACCGAAAGGAUAUAUAAAUUAAGUAAUGCACAAACACACUCAUGUAAAAAUUAACUAAAAAAGGCUGGUAUGUAGACUAUAGGACUAGAAAAUUAGGAGGCAAUUAUCUCCUUGUUCAAUAAUAUAUUUGGAUUUCAUGCGGUUUUGUUUUUAAAAUUAUUUUUUUCUUGAAAUAAUAUCAAAUUAAUAUUUUUUAUAUAGUUUUAAAUGAUUUUAAUAUACUGAUAAAAAAUUAAUUUUAAUAUAUUUUUAAAUUAAAAACUCUUUUAUUAAAACAAAAUACAUCUUAUUACCAAAUACACUCAAACACUAUAGAUGGUAACUCUAAGUAUUACAUCUGCAUUUGUUAUACUAUUCUAAAUUUGUCUAGAUAGAAUUACAGAGAGGAGGUCUCUUGAGUUACAAAUGGGUUCUGCCUUGAUUAUAAAAGGUCUUCUCAACAGUUCUAAUUUUAAGUUUCUAUUUUUUUUUUAAAUGUAAUUUUAACUUUUAAAAAGAAAAAGAAAUCUUGAAACGACAAUGAUUGAGUUGGCGGAGUUUAACCUAAGUUAAUUUAUCUAACUUGUAACUCAAGUAUUAGAUUGAGUUAUAAAUUAGGUGAUUAGCUGAGUCUGAGUUUGAUAUUUUUGUAUUGGUAUAUUAUGAAUGUUUGUUGACGACUUGCUAGGUAUGGGCAAUAUUUGGAAUUUGGGACUAUCUUAGUUUCCAAUUUAGUUUCUGUCAUGAUUUAUUUCAGUCUCAAUAUUAUUCAUGCCUUGCAUUUUCUAUGUUAUUGAGUGAAAUCUGUAUAUUUGCUUGCUUGUUGCAGACCUGUCCUUAAACUUGUUUAAAUUCUUUUUAUUAACAUCAAUUUUUCUUUCAAUUUGGUGUGAGUUUACCAUUCAUGGAGGUAGAGAAUGACACUGGGUACCUUUUUUUUCAAAAAAAUAUUUGGAUGCUUUGCCCACCAUAGAGGUGGCUUGUUAAUUUGAAUUUAAUUGUAAUAACUAAUAAGUAUAAGUUUAGGGUGUGUUUUUGGUGCUUUGAUAAUCUUAGAGACUAUUUUAUAUUCUCAUGUAAAGUCUAUCUUGUGCAGGUUGGACCAAGCAUAAAAAGGACGAUUUUACUAUUUUUUAAGUUUAUUUGAUAUUUGUGCUUGGGAGAUUCUACAGCUCGAGGCCCAUUUGCAAUUUUUAAUGGCGCCGCCAGGUACAAAGUAAUAUAUAACAAAAUUAUUGCAUGAGCAUAAACCUAAUAGCUUUGACAUUUAAUAGCCAACUAAGCAUUGAAGAAUUCUCCCGAUAAUAGCUUAAAGAAAUAUUUUUAAUAACGUGGUAUUGAAUUUAGUUAAUAACAUUGGAAGCAUAUAUAUAUAUAUAUAUAUAUAUUAUCAUAACAUUGAAAGGAGUUAAUUAGAAGAUGAAAUAUAUAGAAUUCCACUAAAAAAAUAAAAAUAAAAAUAGAAUCUUGCUAGAUCUGACUAUGUUAUUUAGCUUUUUAUAAACCCUUUGGUUUUGUAUUUCUAAAGCAUUUUUUUAUAUAUAAAUUUUUUUUUUACUUUUUUUUUAUUUUUAGAUUAUUUUAAUAGAUUGAUGUUAAAAUUAAAUUUUAAAAAUAAAAAAAAUAAUAUUUUAAUAUAUUUCUAAACAUAAAAUAUUUUAAAAAUCAAUCGUUUUAUAACACUACUUCUAAAUGAUUUUGUUGCUUGUAAUUUAAAUACUGAAGCAGAUCCAUUUCAACCAGGCACAUGUGAGGAGCCAAUCCGAUAUCAAACUAAGCAAUCACGAUUUUUGAUAAUAUACAAGUAGGGUUCAAGUCGUAGCAUCAAGAUUUUCUGCUAGCAAUAACAGAAACAUCCUGUUUGUUUUCUUCUUUUUUUGGAUGAAAUCCUGUUUGUUUUCUUUCUGUUCCUACAACAAAGUAAACAUAUUCAAUGGUUAUUUGUAUACAAACAAUCCGACAGCCAAGCAACCUCAGUUUUUUUUUUUUAAUUGAUAAUUAAUUAGUUCUGUGUCCUGACCCUGAAAUAAAUAUACUAUUAUUAGAAAUUUGUAAUCGUGUAUCUAUUUGCUAGAAACUAUAACAUACCCCUUAGAUGCAUACGUGAAGAUCUCUAACAUAUACCAUCUUCAUAAAGGUCGAAUUCAAGAGACUCGACAGUCAUUAUCGGCGACAAUUCUCAGCCAUCGACAGGCCGGGAGAUAACACGAAGCCCUUUGCCAGAUAUAAUGCGUAAUGCUACUCCUAGAAGACGUUCGGCACCAUUUGUGGCUGGACUCGUAGGUGGCGGUCUUCUCAUCAUUUCGAAAUUGUGGCGCAAGUCUAAAACUACCAAGGAGGAUGUGGAAGUUCUAGCAAAAACGCCUAUUAGGUUUCCGUAUGAAGAUCUACGUGUUGCGACUGAUGAUUUCGCGGAAAGAAUUGGAAGAGGAGGCUACGGAUCUGUGUUCAAAGGAGUACUUGCUGAUGGAACUAGAGUUGCUGUGAAGUGUUUGGAUAAACUAGACAAAGGAAAGAAGGCAGUUUUAACAGAAGUAGAGACAAUUGGAAACCUGCAACACUCUAACUUACUGAGGUUGAUAGGAUUUUGUUCAGAGAAAUCAUACAAGGUUUUAGUAUAUGAGUACAUGAGUAAUGGAUCGUUAGAUACUUGGAUUUUUCAGAAUGAUCAAAGACCUUUCCUUGAUUGGCAGACGCGAAAGAAGAUUAUACUUGACAUUGCAAAAGGGCUUGCUUAUCUCCAUGAAGAAUGUCAACAGACCAUAAUUCAUUUCGAUAUAAAGCCGCAGAACAUUCUGCUGGGUCCAAAUUUCAAUGCCAAAAUCUCUGAUUUUGGUUAUCUAAGGUCAUCGAUGAAGGAACGGGACAAGUACAAGUUUCAAUGAGAGGAACCCCUGGAUAUAUUGCUCCAGAAUUGUGUAAGCUACCACCAGGACGUAUCACGUACGGAAAAAAUUGACAUUUACAGCUUUGGAAUUGUUCUCCUGGAAAUAGUUUGUGCACGAAAAAACGUAGAUCACUCGCUGCCAGAAUCUGACUUCCAUUUAGUUAGAAAGCUGCAGAAUAAAGCUGAAGAAGAUAGACUAAUAGACAUUGUGGAAAAUGUAGAUGCAUGCAUGCACUGUGAUAAGGAGGAAAUACUUAGAAUGAUAAAGGUUGGUGCUUGGUGCUUGCAGGAUGACCCAGAAAGAAGGCCUCUCAUGUCAACGAUUGUGAAGAUAUUGGAUGGUGUAAUGGAGGUAGAUACGAACUUGGUGUAUGUGUUCUCACAUUCACUCAUAGCUUCUCCCAUUGCUAAUCACCACAUUUCUUCGGCACAGCUGCCAGCAUCUGUUCUUUCUAAUCCCAGAUAAUGGCAUUGUAAAUCUCUUUCUUUUCUUUUUUUCUUAAAGAAAAUUCAUCAAGCUUGUUUCAUAAUUUGUACUACUUGUCCAUUACAAAAUUCAUCUUAAUUGAGCUAAGGAAAACUAUCAUUUUAGUAUUGGUAUUUUUUUUUUCUAGUAAACUUCAUUAAGACAUAUUCAAGUGAUGUUUGGUGACUGAGAAAAAAGAAUUAAUAAUAGGAACAAGAGUAAAAGUUUCAUUUCGAGUUAUUUAGGUUGAAUUGAUUUUUUAGCUUGCGCUUGUUCAAUAUUUUUUAGCCUCUUUUUUUUUAUAUAAAUAAUAACUGAAACAUUUUUAAAAUAUUUAAAUAAUGACAUAUUGAAUAACACAUAUUUUUCUUUUAAUAUUAAAAAUGUGACAUAUUGAAUCGAUUUGAGCCAAUAAUAAUUAACUUAUAAAAUUUAUGAUUUGAGGUGUGAGAUCAUAAUUAAACUAUGGAAUCUACAUAGUAGAAAAACUAAAAAUUUCAAUUAUAAUAAAACAAAUAUCAAAGGCUGAAAGUGAAAAAAAAAUUUAAUAAAAAAACAAAAAAAAGGUGACCAAAGUAAACUUAUAUUGGUCUUCGGCUCAAUGUCUCAGGGUCUGGCAAAGUUUUUUGGAUGUAAGAUGAACAAAGUUAAGGUGAUGUUAGGAUUUCUAAAAAGUAAAAGAAAUUUAAGACUUAGGUCAUAGAGUUGGGUUACAUCAUUUUUUAAUAACAUAAAAAAGACAAUUUAAUUUAAUAAUAUUAAAAACCAAGUAAAUCUGGACAAAUCUCCUAUACCCAGCUUAAUAUUUCAAAAUCAUAACCCGUGAAAUUUCAAACUUGUGCUCAAUUAAAAAGCUCGAUUUCCAACUAAAAAAGAUACACUCAUACAAAUAAUGUCAACUUGUGAAAUAUGGAAUCACAAUUAUUUUCAACUAAUCAAACGUUUGAAGAAUAAAAUUCAAAGAAAAAAUUAAUCAUACAAAAUGAUGAAAAAAAAUAGCAAUUAUAAGUUAAAAAAAGACUUGCACCCACUCGGGUCAAUCCAUCAAAUCCACAGGUUAGGUAACUCAAUACAAACCAAAAUGAAGAAAAUCAUGAAAUUUAAUUUUUUUAAAAACAUCGUUAGCUUAUAAAAUUUGUUACCUAAGCCAUUUGACUAAAAACACUAAAUAUGAAAAAAUUAUGAAGCUCAAUUCUCAAUAAAUAAAUAUUUAAAUAUUAAAUUGAAAAACAAUCAACUAUGCAAAAGGAUCCAAAAGAAGAAAGCGUAAUUAAAAGCAAAAACGAAGAAGAAAAGAAGACGUGAGCCCAUCUAAAUUAACCUGCCAAACCCAUAGGUCAGGUCAUGAGAACAAUAUAACAUAAUAGAAAGGAAAAUGAAAAAACUAUAAGGUUUAUUUUGUAAAAAAAAAAAAUCAAUGUCAAGUAAUGAGAUAAAGAAAAUAAGUUAAAAAAAAGAUAUUAAUAUGUGUUAGAUUAUAAAACUCGUGUCCCAUGUUAGCUCAUAAAUCAAAUGUCAAAUGAUAAAAUUAAUAUAUAUAUAUAUAUAUAUAUAUAUAAAAUGUUCAAAAGAAAAAAAAUUAAAAUUAAAAGAAUGAUGAUCAAAUUAAAAAAAAAACAAAUGAUGAAAUAAAAAGAAAAAUUGACUUCAUAAAAUAGUUAAAAAAAGAAACCAUAAAAAAACUGAUGACUAAAUUUAAAAAAAUUAAUUUUUUUAUAAAAUGAUAAAAUUAAAAGCAAUCGAAGGUUUAUAAAAUAGGUAAGUAAAAAUUUAAGAAAUAUAAAGAAUCAAGACCAAAAUUUAAGAAACAAAAAAAAUAAUAAAUUUACAUUGAAGAAUGAAAUUGAAAACUUGUCAAUAAAUCAAGUAUAUAAGUUAUAAAUCUAAAGAAUAGGGAUCGAUAAUAAUAAAAAAGAAUACAACUAAAGGAUUACCUUGAAUUUUUAAAUGAUUAGUGUGAAUUUUAAGGGUAGAGAUAGAAAAGGAAAAAACAAUUACCCAUGACCAUCCGCAAGAAACAACGAAUAUGCAACAUUGCUUAAGAAAGAGGACAUUGUGAGGAAAUCCAAUGACAUUACAAAUUGAAGUUUUUAACUAUUAGAGUAAUUUACUUGUGUCAUUUAAAGACGAAGGAGAAGCUGACACUUGGAACAAACACGUCAACAACUUUUCUCGUUUUCAUUUUAUUUUAUUUAUCAAAUUACAACAUUGUCCAGAACAAAUAAUUACUAUGAAAAAACCUUAUGAAAUUACACAAAAGCCCAUGAAGCCAUUCCUUGAGAAUUUUGAUUCUAAAAACAAUUAGGUCAUUUCACUAUAAUUAUAAAAGUAAAAAACCAAAAAUACCCAUUGACCAUGGGCAAGUGUUUUUAUUUUUUUUUUGCUUUUAAGGGUAUGCAAGUAAUUUAACAGUGUAAAAAAAUAAAAAAAGACCGAGCUGCCUCUUACACAUAAAAAAUGACUAAUGAAUUCUGUAAAAAAAAUCAUUUUACCCUACACGACCAACUUAAUUAAUUUUUUUUUAUCAAAGGUAAAAAUAUCAAUUCAUGAUUAUAAUCCACAAUGAAUCAAGGCAUGUAUAUAGUAGUUUUCUCACAUGUUUUAAGCUUUUAUAAUUAAAAGAGAUUAAAAUAAGAAUAAAGACGAGUAUAAAAAUAAAAAUUAAAUGUUGUUUUAUUUCUAAAAGGGAAAUGCAAAUUGUUUUCAAAAAAAUGUCAUAUUAUUACUAAUUUAAUAAUAAUUCAUUUUUUACUAAUUUUCAUUUUAGUCUUAUAAUGUUUAGAAAAGUUGUUUUGAUCUUUUUACUUAAUUUUUUAUAAGAAAAGUUCUCAAUUAGAAACUAUUUGGUCCUUAUAUCAUGUCCAAACUUUACUCCUUAUUUUAAUUUUCCUUUUCAAUUAGACUCUGACACUCUAUUUGUUUUUGUAAACACAUUAAAACAAUAGUUCUGUAUUUUUAUUCCUCUCAUCUUCAUUUUUUUUUCAAAUGUAUAUAAAAGGAGAGAAAAUAAAUAAAUAAAAAAUUAGGUUUCAACAUUAUAUAUGAAGGCAAGCAUUUCUUCAAUUUGGAGAGAAACGGGAUGAAAAGUUUGAUUCGAAUUAUUAGGAUUUAAGUUUUGACCUUGAUUUUAUUUUAAAAUCUUACCUAAAGAAAUAGUAAAGGAUAUCAAUGUAGUUUUCUUCUAAUAUAUAUAGUUAUCAUCUUAUAUACAGGAAAAUAAUUUUUUCAUAAAUACAAAUUUUGUUUUUCAAGACAAGUUUAUCAGGUAAAGGAACUCUUUCAAAGGCUCUCAAAUAUUUUUUAUCUGCGCUUCAAGUUAAACAAAGUCUAAACAUUUCAUAAAAGCUCUUCAAUAAAACAUAAAAUUAUCAAAUCUUUCUUUGCAAUAUAUAUUUCAAUUCAUUUUUUAAUAAAACAUAAAUCUUAACUUGAUUUUAUAAUUAAACCGAGCAAAAAAAAAUAAAUUAAAGAGAAGAAUUGAUGAUCGUUUCAUUCUUUCAUAGGAACAUUUUAAAUAAAAAUUGUACUUAUCAUAUACUUUAAUAAAAUCAAGUAUGUAUUAACGUAUAUGUAUAUUUGUUUAAUUUCUGGUACUCCAAUAAAAUUCAACUGGAGACGCAUUAAUUACAGAUCAUGCAAUCAUGCGUACCAAUUUUCCAUAAGCAGAGGAACAGAACUAUAAGAUGUGUAGAGGCUUGUAUUAGUAUUUGCAGCCACCGCUUUGUAACAGUACAGACGCAGUCCAUUUUUCUACGAUUGUUAUGUGUUAUGUAUUUGUACACCCAAUCCAAAGACCAAAUCAAGCAAUCCAAUUCUUUCAAGGAAGGUUCAUGUCCCAGCACAAUCCAGGUCACUAUUUCAAUAUUCCAAAACAACAAAGCAAACGUAUUUAAUUGUUGUGUGUAUACAAACAAUCCGACAACAAUUCAUCCUCAAUUUUAUUUUAUUUUUAAUUUAUUCCUACCUAUAAAAUAAAUAUAAUAAUAUUUGAAAAACUUAAUCAUGCAUCAAUAAGCUAGUAACUAGAACAUUAAGUAGUUAUGUUCCUCUGAAUAUUAGAAAUCUUUGUCCACGAUUCUAAUAAAAAAAAAAACUUCAAUUCUGAAUUCAAGGAAGACAACAAUUUUUCCAGAAAUGUCCAAGUUAAAAGCCUAACCGUUCUAAUAUAAAAAUAUAAUAAAUAAAUAAAUUGUUUUUUAUUUAAUAUUAGAAAUAUAUCUUAUGUAUAAGUUUGUAAUCCCGGUUCUUAAAAGAAAUAAAAUUAAAAAAAAAAUUGGUAUUUUUAAAAUGUAGGCCAAAAUUCUCUAGAAUUUAUAAACUUGUUGUAAAUCCUUGCAAUAUUUUUUAAAAAAAACAUGUCAAAGUAUUUUAGAUUUUAAAAAAAAAUGCUUCAUUAACUUUAGUAUUUUUAGCCAUAUUCAAAAUAUACGCUUUUCCUUUAAAAAUAAAAAAUCAAAAAAAUAAAGUAAUAAUAGCAAUAAGACUAGUGAUUUGGAAAAAACAGGUCGAGUAGGAUUUCAAACAUAUAAAAAAAAUCAAGUUGUAAUUUUAGAUGGAAUUAAGAGCGUAAUUGUACCCAAGAUUAAAGAGACAAUGUGGAUUUAAAAUCAAAUUAAAUGAUUAUUGGAUAAAUUUGCAUAAAAAUUAAGCAUAGGGGCAUAAUUAGAUGUUUAAUAGGCCAAUUUGAUUUAAUCAUGGGUCCAAUUAAAAUUUUAAUUAUGUUUAAGAAUUAAUUUGGGUCAAAUUAAAUGAUUUAAUUAAGUGCAAAUACUUAAUUAUAAUUUAAAUGGAUCAAAUUAAUUUUAUUAGGGACUUAAUUGGUGAUAAAUAAAGUUUGAAAGCCUAAUUUGGGUUUAAUUGAGAAGAUUGAAAUUUUAAAGGACCAAACUUAAUUUUUACAAAGUUAAUUGGUUGGAAUCAGGGGUAAAAUUGCAAGAAAAUAAAAGUUUAGGGUCAAUUAGAGGUUAAAUUGAAGAAAUUUACAGCCAAAGAUCUUUUUGAAAAAAGACGUCAAACUCUAGGGACUCAGUUGAUUGAAAUCAGGGGUGAAAUUAAAGAGAAUUGAAAGUUUAAUAGUCAAUUUGCAUAAAUCCAAGACCAAGGAUCAAAAUGAAAAAAACAUUGAAAUUGAGGGUUGAUAUUGAAAUUUGGCAAGGGAGAAAUCACAUAAAAUUAGAAGUUUUAGGUCAAUUAAGAAUACAAUUGAAAUAGUCAAAAGCCUCAAAGACUAAAUUGAACUUUUAUCAAAUCUCUAAAUUAAAACCCUAAAGCCAAAAUGAAGGCAUUUUGAAAAAAAAAAAAAAUAAUAAACCAGAUGACGCGUUGUUUGGUUAUUGUUCAUCGCCCGUACCUUUUACUCGAAAUAGUUACUUGGGUGGCUACUUUUCAAGAGCAUUUAAUACUUCUUCUCCCUACUAAACCAGACAAAGCAUACACCGCCAUGGUGACUUUACAUUUUACUACAUCUAGAGCAGGUCUCGAUGACCAACGACCCUUAUGGCUACCACAACUCCGCCUUAAAAUGGCCAACCCGACUAGCUUUAAUGUCCUAUUUUUAUAGACCAUGAUGACACUUUUGAAUUAAUGGUUGAGAUCCUUUCCAGUUGAAUCAAGGGUCAAGAUUUGUCCCCAAUAAAAACAAAAUACUUCUCUUUCACCUUCUAUAAAUAAGUGUGGAUUCCGGGUAUUGAGCAUGGAAAAAUCAAGGAGCAAAGUGGGGAAAAAAUCAUUUUUUCUCUAUUAGCAUUAUUCUCUCUCUCUCUCUCUCUCUCUCUCAACCACUAUUUCAGCUUCAACAACCACCCAAGAAUCACCUAUACACCCUCACCAACACCAGUUCCUUCUCCAGCGAUUGUAAUUCGCAACCAUCGUGAAAGUGGCACCGUCACAAAUUUAUUCUUCCUUUAAAUGAUAAUUCAGUAACUACUACUAUCACUUAUAAUGACAACGACGACCACUACCUACAUUAAAAUUAGAAAAAAAGGUUGGAUGGUUAUUGAAAAAUUCUCUCAUUUAACUCUAUUAAAAGAGUAAUAUUGUGGAAAGUAUAAGUGAUAUUUAAAAACACUUGAGAAAGCUUCCUAAAGGUUACUUGAGUUGUUUAAUACUUGUCUAUUUAUAAGUAUUGUUGAGAAAAGUUCUAGUCUUUGACUUGUUAAAAAGAUUGUAUAAAUAUUUGAUUAUUAGCUUAUACAAAAAGAUUGAGUCUCAUCUUGAUCUCAUAAAAUAAUUGAGAUAGAUCAUGAACCUGGAAAAAGGUUGACAAAGGUUUUAAUCUUUGAUAUAAGAGAAAAGAUUGUGUAAGUGCUUGAUCUCACCCACUAAAAAAAAUGAGUGUAAUAGUAAAUACUUGAACAAAGACUCAAGAAAUGGAAUAAACAAGCCACUAUAAAAAUAUUGGUGCAACCGCUCUUAACUCAAUCUUCUCACUCAUUAAUUAUGUUGAUUGUUUUUGUACAUCUUUAAAUUUAUUAUAUUAUUGUUUGAGCUUAUUUGUAUUGCUCAUUAGAUAGUGCUAUAUAGUUGUUUUAAGUAAAGCAAAAUCAUUUUUAAUUAGCAAUCUAAUUCACCCCCUAUUAAAUAUAUAAUGUUUAUCAUUAUAUAUAUAUAUAUAUAUAUAUAUAUAUAUAUACUAUUUUAUUUUUUGUUGAAUUUUAAAUGAAAGCUGAAUAAUGAAUACUUAUACGGAUACUCAAAACUUGAUAGAUAGAGUAUAAAUAGAUAAAUUUAAUAGAUAAAAAGUAGGAUAUAAAUUUUAAAAAACCUAACUUAUGAAUACUGAAGUGGACAAUUAUCAACAUAUUAAUAUGGUUGAGAUAUAAACAAAAAUAAAAAAUAAAAAACGUGUUCUUGGCAGCUUGACCUAAUUCUGUAGUGUUGAAUAUAUUCUGAAUUGUGGAAUUUAGUAGCUAGUUAAAUAGGUCUUCCUGUGAAAAAUACAAUGCAUAAGCAAGUUGACUACAUGGGAAAGUAUACAGGGUCAGGAUCAUUUGUGGUUUUGUACAGGAUGAAAUGUAGCCGUUGAUGUGCAUAGACGACAGGCUCUCAUGGUAUAGACUUUUGACUUUGCUAAGAAGUCCUCUCCUGUAGCACAACAAGGAAUAUUAAAAUCAUUUUUGAAGGAUUCAUGAGAUAACAAAGAUGAAGGGCAAAUGCGAAAAUUAUCUUUAAAGAGUCAUCCAAAUGGGAAAGCUCAUUUAUUUCCUUUAGAACGUAAUCCCUCCGUUAAGUGUACUCGUCAAUAAAGUGUUGAACUGUUGCCGAUGAAGUUAUUUUUCUAUCCCAAAAUACCCUUUUGACUAUAUAUUAAAUUAAAGAAAUCCAGGGGUAUAAGGUUAUUUUCUUAAAAGCUAGCAAAGCUUCUUAAGGUAUUAGCCAUCCCCAUCAUAGAGACUCCAAGGACCGGAUUAUGAUUUCUUAAACUAAAGGGACUAGGCUGCUAUAUCACUAAAAACACAGGGACUAGAUUAUUAUUUAUUCAUAAUAUUAAAGAAUUGAAGAAUUUAAUACAGGCGAGAUUCUACUUCUUAGUUUUGUCCUACUUUGGAUUAGGGGAUCCCUUUAAAGCUGCUUUUAUACACACACACACACACACAUAAGAAAAAAAAAAUUAGAAGUGUUAUGAUUUCAGAAGUUUUAUCUGCUGCUACUUGGAAUUUGUUAUAUGUCACGAACUGAAAAAUAAAUUUCUUACGAUUUGAUUUAAGAUCUAAGUUAUGAGUUAUCCCAUCUCUAGAACGAGCUAUAACAAUGAUGUGGGAUGCGGUGGCUCUGGUGAAAAAAGUGGGGCAGCCAUACACCUUAUUUCCAAGAAGGUGGAGGAAAAUCGUUCACUGCCUUGUGAGAACUUUCAACGCAACCUGUCCUAAUCACAAAAAGUCGGUUCCGUAAGCGUGUUGAACUUUCCCUUCUCUUCAUUACUUUCCUCUGAGCCAAGCUUAGCCCAAUGAAAGGAAGAAAGAUUGCUAAUUGGACUUCAAACUCCUCCUCCUUCUUGUUGUUAAAUAAAUUUUAUCUUCUUCAAUGUCUGUGAUAAAAUUACUUGUGCAUUUAUCUUCUUUCUUGGUCGCUCAUUUAUUCAUAUCAGGUAAAGUCGACAAAUCUAUUUCUGUUUCCAGCUCUGAUUCUUCAACUUAUUUUAUUAAUUGAGUUUUUUUAUGCUAUGUUAUUGCUAGCAGGUGUUGUUUCAACAACAUUUACAAUAACAAACAAGUGUAACUACACAGUUUGGCCAGGCAUUUCCUCGCAAUCAGGCUCAGCAGCUCUCUCCACAACUGGUUUUUCCCUUGAAAAGAAUGAGUCAAAGACCUUAACAGCACCAGCUUCUUGGAAUGGGCGGUUUUGGGGCCGCACGUACUGCACCGAAGACUCGUCAGGAAAUUUCUCCUGCAUCUCUGGCGAUUGUGGCUCCGGCAAACUAGAAUGUUCAGGCAACGGUGGUGCUCUUCCUGUAACGUUGGCAGAGUUUGCGCUUCGUGGUUUUAAUGGCCUUGAUUUUUUUGAUGUUAGUCUUGUUGAUGGCUUCAACCUGCCUUUGCUUGUUGUGCCUUCUCGUCAGAACUGUACAAGCUCUAGAUGUGAAGUGGAUUUGAACGAAUCGUGUCCGUCAGAGCUUAGGGUUACCACUAGUACAGAAGGCAAAACUGUGGGAUGCAUGAGCGCGUGCCAAGUGACUGGGUUGUCGAUGUUUUGUUGUAAUGGUACUGCUAAAUGCAAGGCUUCUUUGUAUUCUCAAUUCUUCAAGAAUGCCUGUCCACAAGCUUACAGCUACGCUUUGGAUGAUGUUAGUAGUAGCUUCACUUGUGCAUCAACCGAUUAUCAAGUUACAUUCUGCCCAGGUAAAUAUGCCAUUCUCCAAUUUGUGUAGUUUUAUGAGUUUGGUAUUUUAUUUUUUUUAAUCAUUUCAACAUUUAGAGGUAGUUUUGUGCAUCUGAAAGUCAGGCAAAGAGUUCACAAACUAUGAAGCUUAAGCUACCAAAAAACAGAGUGUAGACUGCAGAUACUGCAAGAAAUUACAUCAUAACAAUGAAUAGCUGUUUGGUAUUUUAGCCAUUCUAACAUGUAUUUUUGGAACUUGGUAUCCAUAUAAGAGUAAGGCUAUACAAAAACAAAAGUGCAGAGCCAUGCCAGUGAUGUGAAUGAGAUCAUACUUUCCUUCUAUCACUGCCUUUCACAUAAAUCCAUCAUCUUUUUGGUUCCAUAAUGAAUCUACUUCAAAAUCAUUUUGUUUGGCAGGCAACACAACAGUUAUUACAAAAAACAAUUCUCGUCCAUCGCCAGGGGAGAUAGCACCAAUUCCUCCACCAGAAAUAAGGCCUGAUACCACUUCAAGAAGACAUUGGGUGCCAAUUAUAGCAGGAAUUGUGGGUGGUGUUCUUGCCAUCAUUUCUUUUGUAGUUAUUAUUGUUUGGAGGGUUAGGUUGAGCAAGUCUAAUGAUACUGAGGAGGAUGUGGAAGAUGAUUAUGUAAAGCUAGUUCCAGGAAUGCCUGUCAGGUUUUCGUAUGAAGAUCUACGCGUUGCAACCAAUGAUUUCAAGGAAACACUAGGAAGAGGAGGCUUCGGGUCUGUAUUCAAAGGAGUACUUCCAGAUAGAACAGGAAUUGCUGUGAAGCGUUUGGAUAAAUUAGGCCAAGGAAAGAGGGCGUUUUUAGCAGAAGUUGAGACGAUUGGAAGUGUGCACCAUUUUAACUUGGUGAGGUUGAUAGGAUUUUGUGCAGAGAAAUCAUAUAGGCUUUUAGUAUAUGAGUACAUGAGUAACAGCUCAUUGGACAAUUGGAUUUUUAAGAAAAUACAAGGAUCUUCCCUAGAUUGGCAGACACGAAAGAGGAUUAUACUUGACAUAGCGAAAGGGCUGACUUAUCUUCAUGAAGAAUGCCGGCAGACCAUAAUGCACCUGGAUAUAAAGCCGCAGAACAUACUCUUAGAUCCAAAUUUCAAUGCCAAAAUCUCUGACUUCGGGCUAUCUAAGCUGAUUGAUAGGGAGAUGAGCCAAGUCCAACUCUCAAUGAGAGGAACCCCUGGAUAUCUUGCUCCAGAAUGGCAUCGAGCAUUAGGUCGCAUCACAGUAAAAGUUGACGUAUACAGCUUUGGAAUUGUUCUACUGGAAGUAGUUUGUGCACGCAGAAGCGUUGAUCACUCGCAACCAGAGUCUGCCUUCCAUUUGCUUAGAAUGUUGCAGAACAAAGCUGAAUACAUUUUGGAAUUUUUAGACGAAUAUAUGCAGAGUGAUAGAGAUGAAAUAAUCAGGAUGAUAAAGAUUGCUGCUUGGUGUUUGCAAGAUGAUCCAGAAAAAAGACCUCUCAUGUCAACAGUUGUAAAGGUGUUGGAGGGUGUAAUGGAGGUAGAUUCAAACCUGGUGUAUAAGUUUUUACAUGCACUGGCACCACCUCCUGUUGCUGAUGACUAUAUUCUUUCAGCACCGCCACCAGCAUCAGUUCUUUCUAAUCCUAGAUGACGUUGCAAGGAUCUUUCAUUUUUGCUAGCGAAAAAAAUUAUCAAACUUGUCAUCCCUUAAACUACUCUGGUCUCUACCAUGUCAUUUUAACCAGCGCGUAUGUUGUUUUGAGUGACUGAUUUUUGUAGUAACUUUCAUAAAUUAAGAUUUGAGGAGUUGUUUGAA
rnacentral:lncRNA from 1 species